rnacentral:rRNA from 1 species
GACAGAGGGUGCAAACGUUGUUCGGAAUUACUGGGCGUAAAGCGUGUGUAGGCGGCCACGUAAGUCGGAUGUGAAAGCCCUGGGCUCAACCCAGGAAGUGCACUCGAUACUGCGUGGCUCGAGUACUGGAGAGGUUGGUGGAAUUCUCGGUGUAGAGGUGAAAUUCGUAGAUAUCGAGAGGAACACCGGUGGCGAAGGCGGCCAACUGGACAGAUACUGACGCUGAGACGCGAAAGCUAGGGGAGCAAACAGG